rnacentral:lncRNA from 7 species
CCCAGCGGCAUAUAAAGGACCCUAGAAAACUAUCCCUGCCUUCCGUUUCACCGUUAACCAUCCACCUCGCCUCCACCACGGGAACUUCGUGCCGCCGAGGGGGGAAAACGGGCCGCCGCCGUCGGGCAAGGCAACAGGGGGGCACUAGGGCACCCGUAGGGCAUACCAGAGUCGCGUCGUGUCUCCUAGAAGCUUCGGCGACAACUAAUUCCGCCAUUGGCAUUGCUGCGCUGGUUGAAUUGCUCAUCGAAGCUGUGCGCCGUCGUGGAUCCGCUUCGAUGUGUGGGAAAACGUCGUUGCGCUUCGACUCCGAAGAGCCAGUGGCUGAGGA